GACGAACGCUGGCGGCGCGCCUAACACAUGCAAGUCGAACGAGCGAGAGAGAGCUUGCUUUCUCAAGCGAGUGGCGAACGGGUGAGUAACGCGUGAGGAACCUGCCUCAAAGAGGGGGACAACAGUUGGAAACGACUGCUAAUACCGCAUAAGCCCACAGGUCGGCAUCGACCAGAGGGAAAAGGAGCAAUCCGCUUUGAGAUGGCCUCGCGUCCGAUUAGCUAGUUGGUGAGGUAAUGGCCCACCAAGGCGACGAUCGGUAGCCGGACUGAGAGGUUGAACGGCCACAUUGGGACUGAGACACGGCCCAGACUCCUACGGGAGGCAGCAGUGGGGAAUAUUGCACAAUGGGGGAAACCCUGAUGCAGCGACGCCGCGUGGAGGAAGAAGGUCUUCGGAUUGUAAACUCCUGUUGU
rnacentral:rRNA from 1 species